rnacentral:rRNA from 1 species
AAAUGAAUUGACGGGGGCCCGCACAAGCGGAGGAACAUGUGGUUUAAUUCGAUGAUACGCGAGGAACCUUACCUGGGCUUAAAUGUGCUGUGACCGCCGGAGAAAUUUGGCUUUUCGCAAGAACAGAGUACAAGGUGCUGCAUGGUUGUCGUCAGCUCGUGCCGUGAGGUGUCGGGUUAAGUCCCAUAACGAGCGCAACCCUUAUUGUCAGUUGCUAACAGGUUAAGCUGAGGACUCUGGCGAGACUGCCACCGUAAGGUGUGAGGAAGGUGGGGAUGACGUCAAAUCAGCACGGCCCUUAUGUCCAGGGCUACACACGUGUUACAAUGGCCGAUACAAAGGGCCGCUACCGGGCGACCGGAUGCUAAUCUCUAAAGUCGGUCUCAGUUCGGAUCGGAGUCUGCAACCCGACUCCGUGAAGCUGGAUUCGCUAGUAAUCGCGCAUCAGCCAUGGCGCGGUGAAUACGUUCCCGGGCCUUGCACACACCGCCCGU